rnacentral:rRNA from 1 species
UUCUCAGUAAAUAAUUUUAUAAAAUAAAGAAAUUUAGAUAUAGUAAUUUAUUUAAAUAUUAGUAAAAUUUGUGCCAGCAACUGCGGUUAUACAAAUAAUAUAAAUAAAUAAAUUUUAGCAUUAAAAAAAUGUAUAAAUUUUAUAAAUUAAAAUUUAAUUUAUAAGGUGAAAUUUUAAAUUAAAAGUAUUUUAUUUUUUAUAAAAUUAAAUUUAAUAAAAAUUAAUUAAAAAUUAGGAUUAGAUACCCUAUUAUUUAAUUUGUAAAAUAAAAUGCUGGAUUAUUAUUAGGUAUAUUCUAUAAAUUUAAAAAAUUUGGCAGUAUUUUAAUUUUUUCAGAGGAAUUUGUUCUGUAAUUGAUAGUCCCCGUUAUAAUUUACUUAAUUUAAUAAAUUUAUAUACCUCCGUUAUUAAAUAUUUUAAUAAAAUUAAAUUUUAAAAAAUUAUAAUAAAUUUAAUGUCAGGUCAAGGUGUAGUUUAUAGUUAAGAAGAAAUGAAUUACAAUAAAAUAUAUUUAUACGAAUUUUAAAUUGUAAAAUUUAGAUGAAGGAGGAUUUGUAAGUAAAAAUUUUUAAUAAAUAAUUUUGAUUAUAACUCUAAGAUAUGCACAUAUUGCCCGUCGCUCUCAUUAUAAAAUGGGAUAAGUCGUAACAAAGUAGAAGUACUGGAAAGUGUUUCUAGAAU